GAGGAUAUAGCUUAGUGGUAAAGCACUUGCUUAGCAUGCAUGAGGUCUGGGUUCAAUCCCCAGUACCUCCA
rnacentral:tRNA from 1 species